AAAGUUGUCUCAGAUAGAUAGGUAGACAGACAGACAUGUAAAAUUUAAAAAGAUGAGACAUUGUGAAGAGGACGGGCCUGGGUGCUGGAGCCUUCCCACGUUCACCACCAGCCUUUGGAGGCUGGGACAGGCAGAGGGACCAGGACUCUGGCUUUGGGUGUUCACCUCACCACAGGUUCAUCUAUUAUCAUCACGGCACAUGCUGUGUCCUUGUUCACAAGGCUACCACGGAAGAUCUGUGACAUCCCCGUGCCAUUUCUGUAUUUUUCCCUGAUCUACUUGUCUGGUUACCCUGUGUAAAAAAGUAUUUGUUUGGAGUGAAUUCUUGAGUGAAUUCAUGUAGAUUCCUGGUAAUGUAUGCUUUGUUUUGUUUGUUUCAGUUCAGACAAGCCAUCUGUUUAUUAAGCCAUAUAAGAAUUUUAGGAAGGUGUAAAUUCAAGUUCAUCAACCCAGAGUUUCUAGGAUACAAUUUUAUUUGAAAGUGGCAGUGCUAUUUGUCCCUCUCCAGGUGUCCAGUUUUAACCUGGUUUCCAAUGAAUGCUGACAGUUGUCCUCAGAUUAAAUCCGCAAAUUCUUUUUCUGUCCCAUGACGUAUUUAUUUGGGCUUAAAGGCUUGAACCAGUUUGAGUGAUCCUGAGCUUUUAUACAAUCUUCUCACCUAUGUUGGGCCUCAGUUUCUUGUUGACCUUGAGUAUUCUACCAUUUGCUUUUUGAAGAUCAUCUUUUCUUUCAAGAUGAGAGGUGUCAUAUUUUCCAUCUUACCCAAGGGAUGCGACUAUAUGCCUUUCCUCCUUUGGGUUCCAAAUAGAGCUAAAACCACAUGUGCCAGCUUCUUUCUUUUGAGAGGAAUUCUUUCUAUGAGUGGGGGGCAUGAGAAUGGGCCCCAUUGAUGGAGAGACUAGAUGAAUUCCAUGUUUCUAGGCAACUCCAGGAGUCGGCAGACCUCCACGCUGCUGUCCUGCCUGUUCCAUCAGCACCACCCACUUCUCUUUAGUGACCUGGCAAGGGUUCUUAGCUAUCCUGCAAGAUGGGAUGGAAGACCCACAGUGAGAUAUUUCCUGACUGUGUGGAGGAAUUGCAACAAUCGGGAUAGAGAAAAGGUGGUAAGAGAGUUUGAACAAGAGACCUGAGAGCAAAAGCGUGUAUUAUUUUUACCCAAAAAACCCUCAAACGCUCUGUGGCUGCCUCUCUUCUUUCUUCUAAUCUCCAGGGGGCAGAGGCGGAUACUGGCUUCAUUGUACGUUAGGGUUCUGUUGCGGCUCAUGUUGAGUUGAAUGGGGUGUGGAUGCUCAUUUUUACCUUAUUCAUUGUUUGCCUUCCCGGUCACUUUUGUGUGUUCCUGCCCCCAGGUAUUGGGCACAGUUAAUUCUUCCUGCAAUUAGUAUUCAUGGUCAGCUAAGCAGAACUAAUGCAACAAACCGUUUUUACUUUGAAGGUUAUAUUACAUGUUUCCAAGCUCCUGCGGAAAAGGCUCUUUAUGAACAAGAUAUUCUUGACUAUCUCUAGGAAUUUAAUUUUCCCCUUUUUUGAAUUUGCGAGCCUGCCUAUUGAAUUCUUUAAUGUGAUUCCCCAAGAAGCA
rnacentral:lncRNA from 1 species